rnacentral:rRNA from 1 species
AAAAGCUCAAAUUUGAAAUCUGGCUUCGGCCCGAGUUGUAAUUUGUAGAGGAUGUUUCGGGCACCGCCCCGGCGUAAGUCCCUUGGAACAGGGCGUCAUAGAGGGUGAGAAUCCCGUCUGGCGUCGUGGUAGGGCCCAUGUGAAACUCCUUCGACGAGUCGAGUUGUUUGGGAAUGCAGCUCAAAAUGGGUGGUAAAUUUCAUCUAAAGCUAAAUACUGGCCAGAGACCGAUAGCGCACAAGUAGAGUGAUCGAAAGAUGAAAAGCACUUUGAAAAGAGAGUUAAACAGUAUGUGAAAUUGUUGAAAGGGAAGCGCUUACAACCAGACUUGAGCCCGUCGGUUCCCCCUCGCUUCUGCGUGGGCUACUCCGGCGGGUCCAGGCCAACAUCGGUUCGGGUGGCUGGUCAAAGGCCCCGGGAAUGUACCUCACCUUCGGGUUAGGCUUAUAGCCCGGGGUGUCAUGCGGCCUACCUGGACCGAGGAACGCGCUUCGGCUCGGAUGUUGGCGUAAUGGUUGUCAGCGACCCGUCUUGAAACACGGACCAAGGAGUCGAAGAGCUAUGCGAGUGUUUGGGUGUCAAACCCGUACGCGUAAUGAAAGUGAACGGAGGUAGGAAGCUUCGGCUGCACUAUCGACCGAUCCUGAUGUUCUCGGAUGGAUUUGAGUAAGAGCAUAACUCUCCGGACCCGAAAGAUGGUGAACUAUGCCUGAAUAGGGUGAAGCCAGAGGAAACUCUGGUGGAGGCUCGCAGCGGUUCUGACGUGCAAAUCGAUCGUCAAAUUUGGGUAUAGGGGCGAAAGACUAAUCGAACCAUUGAAGAAAUAGCUACUCAGGUGGUUAAUUGCGGCCUGAAAGGGCGUGGGCAAGUCCCCGGUCAAGGGGCAACAUCGUCAAAGUGCGGGGACCUCCUAAAGCCUCUACCACCAAACGGCGCCCCGAAAGGGAGCCCGUGGCCACGUUAACAGCGUCGGGUAUGGUAACAGCGUAGAGUGAUGCAACAAUGGAUGAUCCGCAGCCAAGUCCUAAGGGCUCCCAGAGCCUACGGAUGCCGUUCAUCGACUGGAUGGCGGUGGGCUCCGGGCACUUCGGUGCCUGGAGUCUAAGAUACAGUCAGUCCCCCGGGGAGACCCGGGCGUACAUCGCUAAACCCGCGGCGGUAGUGACCCCCUCUACGAGGGUCGCCGCGGGCCCGAACGGUGCGGGUGUCUACGGGCACCGGAGCAAACGCUGGUAGCUGGUUCCUGCCGAAGUUUCCCUCAGGAUAGCAGUAACGUUUUCAGUUUUAUGAGGUAAAGCGAAUGAUUAGAGGCCUUGGGGUUGAAACAACCUUAACCUAUUCUCAAACUUUAAAUAUGUAAGAAGUCCUUGUUACUUAGUUGAACGUGGACAUUUGAAUGUAUCGUUACUAGUGGGCCAUUUUUGGUAAGCAGAACUGGCGAUGCGGGAUGAACCGAACGUGAGGUUAAGGUGCCGGACUGCACGCUCAUCAGACACCACAAAAGGUGUCAAUGCAUCUAGACAGCCGGACGGUGGCCAUGGAAGUCGGAAUCCGCUUAGGAGUGUGUAACAACUCACCGGCCGAAUGCAUUGGCCCUGAAAAUGGAUCGCGCUUAAGCGUGCGACCUAUACCUCGCCGUCA